AGCAGCACAAUGCAAGAUGUGGGUGGAUGCCUAGUACAUCUAGUAGAAAUGGGGCAGAAAAAGAGUGAAACUCUGAUCACCAGAUGGCAGCAGAGGCUUGUGCCAAAAGGAUACCUUUCUGGUCCCAGAAAGGGGUGGGGUAAAACCAGUGAUAUUCACAUCCUUCAGAAAAAUUAGUAUUAUUUUCCUUAAAAAAAUCACUAUUUAAGAAUUUCAUUGAUAAUUCCCACUGGGAGAAAGCAUCAAGUUAUUGCUCUACAAUAUUUACUUUACCCUGUCAGUGAAUACGACAAAAUGAUUAAAAAAGAAAUAAGUGUGUGUCAACAAAUUCAGACUCUUCUGUACAAGAAUUUUCUUAGAAAAUGGAGAACAAAAAGAGAGAGC